rnacentral:rRNA from 1 species
UACGUAGGUGGCAAGCGUUGUCCGGAAUUACUGGGUGUAAAGCGCGUGUAGGCGGGAGGCCAAGUCUGCUGUGAAAUCGCCCGGCUCAACUGGGCGGGGUCGGUGGAAACUGGUCACCUGGAGGACGGUAGAGGCGAGUGGAAUUCCAGGUGUAGCGGUGAAAUGCGUAGAUAUCUGGAGGAACACCGGUGGCGAAGGCGGCAUCCUGGACCGAGAUUGACGCUGAGGCGCGAAAGCUAGGGGAGCAAACGGG